CUUCUCUUUAGAGCCUCCAUCAGAACAUGGCUGUCCUAAUGCUGAUCAUCUGCCUGGUGAUCUUUCCAAGCUGUGUCUGGUCCCAGGUUCAGCUGAAGGAGUCAGGACCUGGGCUGCUGCAGCCUUCACAGACCCUGGCCAUCACCUGCACUGUCUCUGGGUUCUCAUUAACCGAUAAUGAUGUACAAUGGGUUCGUCAGACUCCAGGAAAGGGUCUGGAGUGGAUAGGAGCAGUCUGGAAUCAUGGAGGCAUAGAUUAUAAUUCAGCUCUCAAGUCCCGACUGAGCAUCAGCAGGGACACUUCCAAGAGCCAAGUUUUCUUAAAAAUGAACAGUCUACAAACUGAUGACACAGCCAUGUACUACUGUGCCAAAGACACACUGAGGGAAGUUCAGAGUGAAACUGCACAAAAACCUCUCUACAGUGAUGCUCAGGACCAGCAGGUGGCAGUAAAUACCAACAAGGACUUGCCAGGAUCAAUUCAGAAUCUAGAAAGUUCUGGCCUAGGCUUUAUGAGCAACUAUUUUAAUGGUAGAAAUGUGGACUAUUCUUCUAGACAUGGGUCAUUUCUAUGA